UGGGAUGACGUCAAAUCAUCAUGCCCCUUAUGACCUGGGCUACACACGUGCUACAAUGGUUGGUACAACGAGUUGCGAGUCGGUGACGGCGAGCUAAUCCUACUUAAAGCCAAUCUCAGUUCGGAUUGUAGGCUGCAACUCGCCUACAUGAAGUCGGAAUCGCUAGUAAUCGCGGAUCAGCACGCCGCGGUGAAUACGCCGUCCCGGGCCUU
rnacentral:rRNA from 1 species